GGGGAUUUAGCUCAGUGGUAGAGCACUUGCCUAGCAAGCGCAAGGCCCUGGGUUCGGUCCCCAGCUUCCCCC
rfam:Rattus norvegicus chromosome 8, whole genome shotgun sequence.